ACAAGCGGCGGAGCAUGUGGAUUAAUUCGAUGCAACGCGAAGAACCUUAUCUGGGCUUGACAUACACCAGAUCGGCGCAGAGAUGCGUUUUCCCUUGUGGUUGGUGUACAGGUGGUGCAUGGUUGUCGUCAGCUCGUGUCGUGAGAUGUUGGGUUAAGUCCCGCAACGAGCGCAACCCUUGUCUUAUGUUGCCAGCACGUGAUGGUGGGGACUCAUGAGAGACUGCCGGGGUUAACUCGGAGGAAGGUGGGGAUGACGUCAAAUCAUCAUGCCCCUUAUGUCCAGGGCUUCACACAUGCUACAAUGGUCGGUACAACGCGUGUGCGACACUGUGAGGUGAAGCUAAUCGCUCUAAAGCCGGUCGUAGUUCGGAUUGGGGUCUGCAACUCGACCCCAUGAAGUCGGAGUCGCUAGUAAUCGCAGAUCAGCAACGCUGCGGUGAAUACGUUCCCGGGCCUU
rnacentral:rRNA from 1 species